rnacentral:rRNA from 1 species
AGGAUGAACGCUAGCUACAGGCUUAACACAUGCAAGUCGAGGGGCAUCAGGAAGAAAGCUUGCUUUCUUUGCUGGCGACCGGCGCACGGGUGAGUAACACGUAUCCAACCUGCCCUUUACUCGGGGAUAGCCUUUCGAAAGAAAGAUUAAUACCCGAUGGCAUAAUGAUUCCGCAUGGUUUCAUUAUUAAAGGAUUCCGGUAAAGGAUGGGGAUGCGUUCCAUUAGGUUGUUGGUGAGGUAACGGCUCACCAAGCCUUCGAUGGAUAGGGGUUCUGAGAGGAAGGUCCCCCACAUUGGAACUGAGACACGGUCCAAACUCCUACGGGAGGCAGCAGUGAGGAAUAUUGGUCAAUGGGCGCUAGCCUGAACCAGCCAAGUAGCGUGAAGGAUGAAGGCUCUAUGGGUCGUAAACUUCUUUUAUAUAAGAAUAAAGUGCAGUAUGUAUACUGUUUUGUAUGUAUUAUAUGAAUAAGGAUCGGCUAACUCCGUGCCAGCAGCCGCGGUAAUACGGAGGAUCCGAGCGUUAUCCGGAUUUAUUGGGUUUAAAGGGAGCGUAGGUGGACUGGUAAGUCAGUUGUGAACGUUUGCGGCUCAACCGUAAAAUUGCAGUUGAUACUGUCAGUCUUGAGUACAGUAGAGGUGGGCGGAAUUCGUGGUGUAGCGGUGAAAUGCUUAGAUAUCACGAAGAACUCCGAUUGCGAAGGCAGCUCACUGGACUGCAACUGACACUGAUGCUCGAAAGUGUGGGUAUCAAACAGGAUUAGAUACCCUGGUAGUCCACACAGUAAACGAUGAAUACUCGCUGUUUGCGAUAUACAGUAAGCGGCCAAGCGAAAGCAUUAAGUAUUCCACCUGGGGAGUACGCCGGCAACGGUGAAACUCAAAGGAAUUGACGGGGGCCCGCACAAGCGGAGGAACAUGUGGUUUAAUUCGAUGAUACGCGAGGAACCUUACCCGGGCUUAAAUUGCAGUGGAAUGAUGUGGAAACAUGUCAGUGAGCAAUCACCGCUGUGAAGGUGCUGCAUGGUUGUCGUCAGCUCGUGCCGUGAGGUGUCGGCUUAAGUGCCAUAACGAGCGCAACCCUUAUCUUUAGUUACUAACAGGUCAUGCUGAGGACUCUAGAGAGACUGCCGUCGUAAGAUGUGAGGAAGGUGGGGAUGACGUCAAAUCAGCACGGCCCUUACGUCCGGGGCUACACACGUGUUACAAUGGGGGGUACAGAAGGCAGCUAGCGGGUGACCGUAUGCUAAUCCCAAAAUCCUCUCUCAGUUCGGAUCGAAGUCUGCAACCCGACUUCGUGAAGCUGGAUUCGCUAGUAAUCGCGCAUCAGCCACGGCGCGGUGAAUACGCUCCCGGGCCUUGUACACACCGCCCGUCAAGCCAUGGGAGUCGGGGGUACCUAAAGUACGUAACCGCAAGGA